rnacentral:rRNA from 1 species
GCGAAGCAUCUGCCAAGGAUGUUUUCAUUAAUCAAGAACGAAAGUUAGGGGAUCGAAGACGAUCAGAUACCGUCGUAGUCUUAACCAUAAACGAUGCCGACCAGCGAUUAGGAGACGUUGAAUACAAAACACCACCAUCGGCGCGGUCGUCCUUGGCGUCUCGCGUUCGCGCGCGCGGCGCGGGGGCGGCUUAGCCCGAUGGCACCGGUGAAUGACUCCCCU